AUGUCGUUGCAUCCAGAUCACAUAGUCACGACGAUGAUGGAAACAACAGCAGUUGCUGCUGCCAGUGCCGGUGGCAGCCUGGAGGUGGUGGUGUUCCGGUGGCUGGCGUUCGGCCACAUGAUCCCUUUUCUCGAGUUCUCCAAGCGCCUGGCGGAGAGGGGCAACGUCGUGACCUUCGUGUCCAUGCCACGGAACCUCGCAAGGCUCUCGCCCGUGCCGGUGCACCUGUCAGCCCGCCUCCGCUUCGUGCCGCUACAGCUGUCGGCGUUGGAGGGGCUCCCGAAGGGCGCCCAGUCAACGGCCGACGUGCCGCCCAACAAGCCGCCCAACAAGAUCGACCUCCUCAGGAAAGCCAUAACCGUUCGUGACGCACGGCUGAGAGGGAUCGGCGUGCAGGUGGCGAGGGACAAGAGCAACGGCUUGUUUGACAGGGACGGCAUCGCCGCGGCGGUACGACGCGUCAUGGUGGAGGAAGAGGGGAAGGUGUUCGCGACCAACUGUGAAGAAGCUCAAGGAGCUUGUCAUGGACGAGGGGCGCCAGGAGUAGAUCGUAUAUGGCUCAGGUCACUUUUCCACCUUAUGCUUUCUCCUCUUAUACUUUAA
rnacentral:rRNA from 1 species